rnacentral:rRNA from 1 species
UACGUAGGGGGCAAGCGUUGUCCGGAAUCAUUGGGCGUAAAGAGCGUGUAGGCGGUCCUGUAAGUCCGCUGUGAAAGUCAAGGGCUCAACCCUUGAAUGCCGGUGGAUACUGCAGGACUAGAGUCCGGAAGAGGCGAGUGGAAUUCCUGGUGUAGCGGUGAAAUGCGCAGGAUAUCAGGAGGAACACCGAUGGCGAAGGCAGCUCGCUGGGACGGUGACUGACGCUGAGACGCGAAAGCGUGGGGAGCAAACAGG